AGGAAUGCGUUGAUGAGGAGUAGUACGAAAGUGAAACGGCAAAAGAGAGUUGACGGCAGGUGAAAGUCAACCCGUCCCUUUCCGAACUCGCCUCGAAGCACUCUGCCUGAAGACCGUCCAGUAGGAGCGGUUGCGUAAGGGGGAGCGUCUAUCCACGAUACGGAUUUUUCAAGCGGGUGAGCUUAUGAUUGCAAGCAUCAGGACUUCUGCUUUCUGUGAAGCAAAGCGAUGAUCGGUGUGCCGUCUGUUCACCAAUGUGGGUGGUACCGCGGGAGCGUAUAUAAUCCUCUCGUCCCUUUU
rnacentral:ncRNA from 1 species